AAAAAAAAAAAAGGAAAAAGGAAAAAGAAUUUUGCUAUUCUCAAGCUAAUAGAGGAAUUAAUUAAAAAUAAUAAUAGUGGUUUAUAGAGCACUUUAAGUGGUGUGGCGUAAGGAACAUCUUCCAAGCCUGACACUGUAUCUCUGUGGUCAUCUGAUUAUCCAUAUUUAGAGGUGACGUCAAAAAUCCCAAUCUGCGGCCCUGCUGGAGCCCCUGUAGUAGACCCUGGGCAUCGACCGGAUGACUGUCCUCCACUGGAGGUGCUCCCUUGGGCCCCCAGAGUGCAUUUCCUGUGUCCUCAUAGCAUGUGUUACAAGUCAGGCCAUCUAAACUUAUUUUCCAAAGCUGGUGGAAAACCUGCCUUGUGGUUUUGCGCUCUAAGCUUGCGUUACUUUUGAGACACAAUAAAUGCAAUUUGCAGAGAGAUCCCAGUUGUGACGGGCCGAGCGGCAGUGGGGACCUGCGUUCAGGCACUGCACACGUUCAGGUCUGCCCACUGCACUGGGCCCCCAUCUGCUCGGCGGGCCCCGCGCCUGCAGGCUGGACUUUGCUUGGCCUUGCGAGGGCCCUCCCUUCUGCAGACGACCGCUCGUACAGGAAGCUGCAUGAUGAAGACAACAGCAUCAGAAAGAGGGAGCUGGAUCUCUGCGUUACCACGUGGAGGAGAGAUGCCUGACCAGGAUAUCUGCAAGGAUUUUGUGUACGCCAGAAACAGAGCUUGACUCAAGGGAGCAAGUUUCCAGAACUAGACGCCUGUCGCCACGUUCUGCAAGCCCCCGCUGGACCCAGAGGUGCCAACUGACUGAAUCGCUCCUGGGGCUGCAUUGGCUUGGGCAGGAUUUCUUUCUGCCCUGCUGUGGUCCCCAACCCCCAGGCCUCGACCGGUACCAGCCCAUGGCCCGUUAGGGACCCGGCCACAGAGCUCUAAGGCCCCCUCACCCCCAUCCCUGGAAACAUUGCCUUCCAUGAAACUGGUCCCUAGUGCUGAAAAGUUUGGGGACCGCUGUGCCCCUGGAAGGUGCUGGUAACCAGAACACUGUCUCUGAAGAGGCAGGCCCGGGCCUCCCCCAGAGCACACGGUCUUCCCCAGCCUCCGCCCCUCUCUGUUCUCCACCUGGCACCUCAUCCUUCCCUGGGCUUCCAAUCUGAAGGAGGUGCGGCUCUCCCAACCUUCUCCCCUCCCUCAUUCCUCUCUCCAUUGCCUCACUUCCCCCCUAAAAAGAAAUUCCAAUCUUAUAAAAGACAAAGCUCCUUUUUAAUUUAAAAUGAUUUUUUAAAAUUAAUUUAUUUUUUGGAGACAGGGUUCCACUAUGCUGCCCAGGCUAGUCUUGAACUCCUAAUCUGGAUUAGGAGUUCAAGCUUGGAUUGUAGGCAUGAACCACUGUGCCCGGCCCUAAAAUGUUUUUUCAUUUCUAUCUAUCUUUUUUUUUUUUUUUUA